AAAGACACAAAAACAUCACUCCGCAGUUCCGUCGCACCGCCGCCGUGAAGCCACCUACCAUGAAGUCGCUAUUUUCUGAUUCAAGGUUCACACAAUUUCAUGAGAAACACUCAUGCUUUAGAUAAGUAAGUAAUUCUUCUGAAUAAUUUUCGUUUGAUUCUCUACGCAUUGUUGUUUAUAGGGAAGAUUUUGUGUAGUUUGCUAAUAUAAAAUUUGGCUGUCUUCUUGAGCCACUUAGGCUCAUUGUUUAUUUUCGUUUGAUACGCUUAUAAAGAUGUGAUAUGCUCUUAUAAAUUUUUUUAUAUAUGGUUAUAAAGGUGGAGGGUGGUGUGUGUGUGACGUGUGUGUUAGAUGUUGAGUUGCAGUAUGGAUUUCAAGCAGGAAGAAAGAUAAUCUUUGAUCGACUUGAAGAAACUCUUAGAAGCAAUGGAGUUAAAAUAAUUAGAGGAGGACAAAUGGGAAUGGAGGGAAAUAACGUCAAAUAUUUAUACAGUUAAAGAAGCUUAUAAAGUACUAAUGUCUGAAAUAGCAAGCUUAUCUAUUCCAAUUUGUUUGAGGGCACGACGUAAAUCAAUCCUUUCAAAAUUCUAUAUGUGUGGAGUUUGAUCCAUAAAAGAAUUACUAUAAAAGACAACUUAUUCAGGAAAGGAGUGAUUGGGAAGGUCGGUUGCAGUGUGGUGGUCAAGAGUAGGCGAUGCAUUUUCUGAGAGUUCAGUUUUCGUAGGUAUUAGGUGUGCAAUUUGCAACUGGAUUGGCAGAGUUCGGUUUUCACAGGUAUUAGGUGUGCAAUUUGCAACUGGAUUGGAAUUUCUACUGCUUUACAUAAGGAAUGCUUAUCUCAGUUAGAUCAGUUUACUUUACCGGGUUGCUUGACAAUGGUAGAUCUUUUCCGAUGCAAGUUUUUGUGAUUUGGUUCACAUGUGUUUGAAGCAUUUGAAAGGCAAAAAAUGGCAAAAAUUUUAACAACAAAUUGAGAAGUGGGUAUAGAUAAUAUGGCCGAGGAGGUGAAGGUGUUAUCAUGGUAUUAGUUGAAUUUUAAACUGAAUAGCACGACUUAUAAUAUAUCUCAAUGAUGUCCAAAUCCAAGGAAUUGUCUUGGUUUAUAGUGAGGUUUCACUGCUGCUAUUGGUUUGCAUGGAAAAUGUUACUGGUCUUCUUUUAUUGUGCAGUUUCACAUGUCAUUUGGGGAACAAAUAAGAAAAUUCAGCAAGGUAGGUGGAUGAUGUGGCAUGCGGCAAUUUGGAUUAUGUGGAAAGCGAGAAAUGAUGGGAUUUUUAACAAUAUAACAAAAGGAGUGGAAGAGACUGGUAGAUUUUUUCAAUUGUUGUAUCUGCUGUGAGCUGCUGUUUGUCUUUGUGAGGCUGUGCGGCUGAUGUGUUUGCUGUUCAGCUUUUGCACCUAGCCUGCUGGGGUUUCUGGUUGCUGUCUGGUUUUUGGGAGGUGUAGAUAGUAGCAGUCUGUUUGCUGUUGUUUUUUCAGUUCUGUGGUGUGGUUGUUAGUUCAGGGGACCAGGCUUUUGUGAGCUUUCUGUCAUGUGCUUUGCUAGAGGUCUGGUUGAGGUUUUUAGGGGUGUGUUUUUUCCGCCUAUAUACGGAAACCCCCGAUUUGGUUCUUUUGUAUUUCGAUUUUCCUUAUUUCGUGCGGGUUAAGCUUUAAUAAUAUUUGUUAAUUUAAAAAAAUAUGUAAUUUGGGGAAGAUUUGGCAAUCAAUCCUGAUGUUGGUGCGAA